rnacentral:tRNA from 1 species
GCGGUUGUAGUCUAGCCUGGUAGGACAUGGCCUUGCCAAGGCUAAAACCCGGGUUCAAAGCACUGCACUUUCU